AUAACGGUCCUAAGGUAGCGAAAUUCCUUGUCGGGUAAGUUCCGACCCGCACGAAUGGCGUAACGAUGGCCACACUGUCUCCUCCUGAGACUCAGCGAAGUUGAAGUGGUUGUGAAGAUGCAAUCUACCCGCUGCUAGACGGAAAGACCCCGUGAACCUUUACUGUAGCUUUGCAUUGGACUUUGAAGUCACUUGUGUAGGAUAGGUGGGAGGCUUUGAAGCAGAGACGCCAGUCUCUGUGGAGCCGUCCUUGAAAUACCACCCUGGUGUCUUUGAGGUUCUAACCCAGACCCGUAAUCCGGGUCGGGGACCGUGCAUGGUAGGCAGUUUGACUGGGGCGGUCUCCUCCCAAAGAGUAACGGAGGAGUUCGAAGGUUACCUAGGUCCGGUCGGAAAUCGGACUGAUAGUGCAAUGGCAAAAGGUAGCUUAACUGCGAGACCGACAAGUCGAGCAGGUGCGAAAGCAGGACAUAGUGAUCCGGUGGUUCUGUAUGGAAGGGCCAUCGCUCAACGGAUAAAAGGUACUCCGGGGAUAACAGGCUGAUUCCGCCCAAGAGUUCAUAUCGACGGCGGAGUUUGGCACCUCGAUGUCGGCUCAUCACAUCCUGGGGCUGUAGUCGGUCCCAAGGGUAUGGCUGUUCGCCAUUUAAAGUGGUACGUGAGCUGGGUUUAAAACGUCGUGAGACAGUUUGGUCCCUAUCUGCAGUGGGCGUUGGAAGUUUGACGGGGGCUGCUCCUAGUACGAGAGGACCGGAGUGGACGAACCUCUGGUGUACCGGUUGUAACGCCAGUUGCAUAGCCGGGUAGCUAAGUUCGGAAGAGAUAAGCGCUGAAAGCAUCUAAGCGCGAAACUCGCCUGAAGAUGAGACUUCCCUUGCGGUUUAACCGCACUAAAGAGUCGUUCGAGACCAGGACGUUGAUAGGUGGGGUGUGGAAGCGCGGUAACGCGUGAAGCUAACCCAUACUAAUUGCUCGUGAGGCUUGACUCU
rnacentral:rRNA from 1 species